rnacentral:rRNA from 1 species
AGAGUUUGAUCCUGGCUCAGGAUGAACGCUAGCGGCAGGCCUAAUACAUGCAAGUCGAACGAGAUUAGGGACUUCGGUUCUUAUGAAAGUGGCGCACGGGUGCGUAACACGUAUGCAACCUACCUUCAAUUGGGGGAUAGCCUUCCGAAAGGGAGAUUAACACCGCAUAAAACAGCAGAAUGGCAUCAUUUAACUGUUAAAACUCCGGUGAUUGAAGAUGGGCAUGCGUUGCAUUAGCUAGUUGGUAAGGUAACGGCUUACCAAGGCUACGAUGCAUAGGGGAUCUGAGAGGAUGGUCCCCCACACUGGUACUGAGAUACGGACCAGACUCCUACGGGAGGCAGCAGUAAGGAAUAUUGGUCAAUGGACGCAAGUCUGAACCAGCCAUGCCGCGUGCAGGAUGACGGCCCUAUGGGUUGUAAACUGCUUUUGUCAGGGAAUAAAUCAUUUUACGUGUAAGAUGUUGAAGGUACCUGAAGAAUAAGGAUCGGCUAACUCCGUGCCAGCAGCCGCGGUAAUACGGAGGAUCCAAGCGUUAUCCGGAUUUAUUGGGUUUAAAGGGUGCGUAGGCGGUAAAUUAAGUCAGAGGUGAAAGCCUGCAGCUCAACUGUAGAACUGCCUUUGAUACUGGUUUACUUGAGUACAGAUGAAGUGGGCGGAAUGUGACAAGUAGCGGUGAAAUGCAUAGAUAUGUCACAGAACACCGAUUGCGAAGGCAGCUCACUAAAGUGUAACUGACGCUGAGGCACGAAAGCGUGGGGAUCAAACAGGAUUAGAUACCCUGGUAGUCCACGCCCUAAACGAUGAUUACUCGCUGUCGGCGAUAUACAGUCGGCGGCUAAGCGAAAGCGUUAAGUAAUCCACCUGGGGAGUACGGUCGCAAGAUUGAAACUCAAAGGAAUUGACGGGGGCCCGCACA